rnacentral:ribozyme from 1 species
ACUAUGGUGCUUUUGGUAAGGUAUGAAUCCGAAACCUCCUGAAGGUCAAGAAAGGCUAAAUCCUACUUCGGCUCAAUACGUUCCGGCGUAUAAUACGGUUACGGUCUCUACAAAUAUCUGAGCUUGUAUAUUCGGAGAAACCCAACCCCUUGGGAAGAUAGGUGACAUGCCUUAAUUGAGCGGA